GAGUGGCAAACGGGUGAGUAACACGUGGGUGACCUGCCUUCGAGUGGGGGAUAACGUCCCGAAAGGGACGCUAAUACCGCAUGACAUCCUGCCUUUGAAGAGGUGGAGCUUAAAGCCGGGGAUCGCAAGACCUGGCGCUUGAAGAGGGGCCCGCGCCUGAUUAGCUAGUUGGUGAGGUAACGGCUCACCAAGGCAUCGAUCAGUAUCCGGCCUGAGAGGGCGGACGGACACACUGGGACUGAGACACGGCCCAGACUCCUACGGGAGGCAGCAGUGGGGAAUUGUUCGCAAUGGGCGCAAGCCUGACGACGCAACGCCGCGUGGAGGAUGAAGAUCUUCGGGUCGUAAACUCCUUUCGAUCGAGACGAACGGCUUCCGGGUUAACAGCCCGGGAGAGUGACGGUACCGAGAGAAGAAGCCCCGGCUAACUCCGUGCCAGCAGCCGCGGUAAUACGGGGGGGGCAAGCGUUGUUCGGAAUUACUGGGCGUAAAGGGCUCGUAGGCGGCCAACUAAGUCAGACGUGAAAUCCCUCGGCUUAACCGGGGAACUGCGUCUGAUACUGGAUGGCUUGAGAUUGGGAGAGGGAUGCGGAAUUCCAGGUGUAGCGGUGAAAUGCGUAGAUAUCUGGAGGAACACCGGUGGCGAAGGCGGCAUCCUGGACCAACAC
rnacentral:rRNA from 1 species